rnacentral:rRNA from 1 species
AUUGAACGCUGGCGGCAGGCCUAACACAUGCAAGUCGAGCGAGCGGCGGACGGGUGAGGAAUGUAUGGGGACUGCCCGAUAGAGGGGGAUAAAUACUGGAAAAGGUAGCUAAUACCGCAUACUAUCGGAUAACCCAUCUUGGAUUAGCUAGUCGGGUAGGUAAUGGCUCACCUAGGCGAGGAUCCCUAGCUGGUCUGAGCGGAUGAUCUGCAACAUUGGGACUGAGAAACGGCCCAGACUCCGCCGGAGGAAGACGUGGGUAAUAUUGCACAAGGGGCGCAGGCCUGAUGCAGCCAUGCCGCGGGUAUGAAGAAGGCCCUAGGGUUUUAAAGUACUUUCAGUCGGGAGGCGUUACCGACAGAAGAAGCACCGGCUAACUCCGGGCCAGCAGCCGCGGUAAUUC